GUGAAAUCAGUACCAGACUCUUCUCCUCCAUUGUUCCCUGAUGGGGGAACGACCUACCAAACUCUGUCUGACCUGCAGGCCUGGACCUACUUUUCAGAGCAAGCUAAAGACCCAGCUCUUUAAGGAGCACUUCGGCAUCUAGGACAGAUGAUGAUGUUGAGGGCCUGAUAAAGCUGCGCAUGCAGCAUAACAGGCUCUUCUCGGGCCGGCGUAACGCCGCGUUUCAUGGAUGGGAGGUCAGCCGGUAGUCUGGCUUCAGGUCUGCCUCCUCAUCAAAAUACACCCGGAGGACUGGCAUAUUGAUGUUGAGGCGGCAGUAGGUCUGUAAGGAAGAAGCCCUUCAAGGCCCAGUCUACAACUGGAGGGAGCUCAAAUAACAAAAAACUUUGCAGGUUGCUGUCAUCUCCAGCUCCCUCCAGAAUGAUUCCCUUGGGUGGGGAAGACUGUUCUUAAGACCUUUUUAUUGAAGCG